rnacentral:rRNA from 1 species
UACGUAGGGGGCAAGCGUUGUCCGGAAUUAUUGGGCGUAAAGCGCGCGCAGGCGGUCCAUUAAGUCUGAUGUAUAAACCAAGGGCUCAACCUUUGGACGCAUUGGAAACUGGUGGACUGGAGUGUAGGAGAGGAAAGUGGAAUUCCACGUGUAGCGGUGAAAUGCGUAGAGAUGUGGAGGAACACCAGUGGCGAAGGCGACUUUCUGGCCUAUAACUGACGCUGAGGUGCGAAAGCGUGGGGAGCAAACAGG